AUUGAACGCUGGCGGCAUGCUUUAUACAUGCAAGUCGGACGGCAGCACAGAGAAGCUUGCUUCUUGGGUGGCGAGUGGCGAACGGGUGAGUAAUAUAUCGGAACGUACCGAGUAAUGGGGGAUAACUAAUCGAAAGAUUAGCUAAUACCGCAUAUUCUCUGAGGAGGAAAGCAGGGGACCUUCGGGCCUUGCGUUAUUCGAGCGGCCGAUAUCUGAUUAGCUAGUUGGUGGGGUAAAGGCCUACCAAGGCGACGAUCAGUAGCGGGUCUGAGAGGAUGAUCCGCCACACUGGGACUGAGACACGGCCCAGACUCCUACGGGAGGCAGCAGUGGGGAAUUUUGGACAAUGGGCGCAAGCCUGAUCCAGCCAUGCCGCGUGUCUGAAGAAGGCCUUCGGGUUGUAAAGGACUUUUGUCAGGGAAGAAAAGGCUGUUGCUAAUAUCGACAGCUGAUGACGGUACCUGAAGA
rnacentral:rRNA from 1 species